GUAUGUUUGUGGGGGAGGGUUACCUUUGGGGGAAAAGCACAUUGCACUAAGAAAGCUGAAACUUUAGAGAAAGAGUCUUCUACAAACACAGCUGCUGCCUGGCAACUUUUCUAUAUCUGGGAGGACAGGGCAGGGCACCCGGCAGCCUCCAGAAUUGCUGCCAAUAUCAUUCCCUAGCAACCUGCUUUUUCAGGCCAACUCUUCCCUCUGAGAAGCUGAAUACAUCACCUCUGUGACACAGUCCAGAAAUCCUGGUUCCUCUUGAACCAUGGAGAUUGGACUGUCUGCUGAGUCUGCCACUUAGUGCAAAGCAUGGUGUUAAGUUUGUGAUGUGGGAAAUGGAACUGAGACCCACCAGACUCAUAUAUGGGCCACCAAUCAUCCAUUAGACGUUAACAGAGUUAAAGACAAAUGCAAGUUAUGACAAAUAGAAACACUUUGACAGAAGCCAGUGUUCCAUGAAACAGAAUCUUCACUUUAACGAAAAGUGACUUGCAAACAAAUUAACUUCCAAAAUGUAUCUUCAAAUAAUGUUGAAGGUCUGGUUUGAAUAUUCAUCUGCCUAGAAGCACAAAAUCCACGUUGUUCUCCUCUAAGUCAAAAAGAGAAAAAAGAAGUUCCACAACUUUUGCCAGUUUAAGGCAUCCUAAUUUAACAUCAGUGCUUGCCUACAAUAUUGACCAAAUAAUUUCCCAGAAGCUGAAUAUCUGAAUCUAGGUAGAUUGUCGUACAGGAGUCUUAAUCCUGCCCUCCAAAUACAUUGCAUACAUCCUCAUAUACCAGUAUGAUAGAAAAUCCGAUAUAUCAAUAAACAGAUAUGGUAGCUGAUUCUUUAAUGUGAGGUAUACCACACAUUGGAGGGAAGUUUAAACCCUUAAAAACAGAGUGGGAGACUAUGUAGCCACAAAAGAAGCAUAAUACAGAAAGCUGCAAUGGUCUCCCUUUCUAGUAAGGAUGCCAGUUAAUGCUAUUUGUGAUCAGGAUUGACAAAACGCACACUAUGGAGUAAAUCAUGCUUCUCCGUUUGCACAGCAAAGGGUCCUGCCUGCCAUAGAACUGGUGCAGUUUCACUCUGCAGUGUGUGUGUCAGGAUUUUGGAACAUGAUGUGGAGGAUCUGCCCUCGUAGCAUGCUGCACAGCAUAGCUCCACAGGGAAUCAUUUUGCAUCUUGUAUACAUGGAAGGAGUGGAAGAGGUGGGACUGGAGUUAUUGGAUGCACAGUUAAUUAGAUCCACACCAGCUGUUGUUGUCCAUGGAGAAGAGGACUGGAACUGGAGGCUCCAGCAGCAUCUGCAGGAUGGCUCUAUAUCUUGGGGGGUGGGAGGACAGCAUAAUUCACCCUACUCUGAUGGGAGCUCCCUGUCCCAAGCCUUGUUAAGCUUUGCAUGAGAUUUGUCCCUAUGUACAGAAUAAUAUGUAGAAUUACACUGAUUUCUUUAAAAUCCAAGCCCCUGCUCUCCUGUAGUUUUUCCAUGAAGUGCGUAUUUUUUUCAGCUAGAUUCUGUUCUUCAGAAAAUAGUGGUUCAUAAUGGAAAUGUUGAGAGACCCCCCCCUAACAUCUGUCAGUUAUGAAAAUUUCUGAGUAAAGAAAACAGCAGCAAGAAGAAAUUAUUCCUCUUUUCUUCAAGGUUGUGCAGUAUGAGAUGGUUUUGGACAAAAUUCAGGUAAAACAGCCAAUGAAUUAACACAAAGUCUCAGAAUCAGGGAUUUUUUAAAUCCUUCCUUAACUUUACAUCUUCCUAAAACAGCUCUGCAAGAAAAGCAGAAGGAAAAAAAAAAAAAAGCUUAAAUCAGCGACUUACAGAUUUUCCUCCAAGGUUAAUUAAUUGUCAUUAAUUGUGAAGUACUGUAGCAAUGAACAAUAGCUUUGUGCAUGAUAAUGGGGGGGGGGAG